GCCGAAGUGACGAAAUUGGCAGACGUACAGGACUUAAAAUCCUGGGGUAGCAAUACCGUACCGGUUCAAGUCCGGUCUUCGGCACCA
rnacentral:tRNA from 1 species